GUGAGGAAUAUUGCGCAAUGGAGGCAACUCUGACGCAGCCAUGCCGCGUGCAGGAAGAAGGCGCUACGCGUUGUAAACUGCUUUUAACCGGGAAGAAACCCCAGGACGUGUCCUGGGUUGACGGUACCGGAGGAAUAAGCACCGGCUAACUUCGUACCAGCAGCCGCGGUAAUACGAAGGGUGCAAGCGUUACCCGGAUUCAUUGGGUUUACAGGGUGCGUAGGCGGAGCGUUAAGUCAGUGGUGAAAUCCUGCGGCUUAACUGUAGACUUGCCAUUGAUACUGUCGCUCUUGAGUGCGCUUGAAGUGGGCGGAAUGUGCCGUGUAGCGGUGAAAUGCUUAGAUAUGGCACAGAACACCAAUUGCGAAGGCAGCUCACUAAGGCGAUACUGACGCUGAGGCACGAAAGCGUGGGGAUCGAACAGGAUUAGAAACCCCUGUAGUCC
rnacentral:rRNA from 1 species